AUUGAACGCUGGCGGCAUGCCUUACACAUGCAAGUCGAACGGCAGCACGGGAGCUUGCUCCUGGUGGCGAGUGGCGAACGGGUGAGUAAUACAUCGGAACGUACCCAGGAGUGGGGGAUAACAUAGCGAAAGUUACGCUAAUACUGCAUAUUCUGUGAGCAGGAAAGCGGGGGAUCGCAAGACCUCGCGCUCUUGGAGCGGCCGAUGUCGGAUUAGCUAGUUGGUGAGGUAAAAGCUCACCAAGGCGACGAUCCGUAGCAGGUCUGAGAGGAUGAUCUGCCACACUGGGACUGAGACACGGCCCAGACUCCUACGGGAGGCAGCAGUGGGGAAUUUUGGACAAUGGGGGCAACCCUGAUCCAGCCAUGCCGCGUGAGUGAAGAAGGCCUUCGGGUUGUAAAGCUCUUUCGGCGGGGAAGAAAUGGCAACGGCUAAUAUCCGUUGUUGAUGACGGUACCCGCAUAAGAAGCACCGGCUAACUACGUGCCAGCAGCCGCCGUAA
rnacentral:rRNA from 1 species